rnacentral:rRNA from 1 species
UACGAAUGGGGCUAGCGUUGCUCGGAAUUACUGGGCGUAAAGCGCACGUAGGCGGUCUUUUAAGUCGGGGGUGAAAUCCUGGAGCUCAACUCCAGAACUGCCUUCGAUACUGGAAGACUUGAGUCCGGGAGAGGUGAGUGGAACUGCGAGUGUAGAGGUGAAAUUGGUAGAUAUUCGCAAGAACACCAGUGGCGAAGGCGGCUCACUGGCCCGGUACUGACGCUGAGGUGCGAAAGCGUGGGGAGCAAACAGG